AAAGUCGUAACAAGGUCUCCGUAGGUGAACCUGCGGAGGGAUCAUUACAGAGUUCAGGCCCCUCGGGGCAGAUCUCCCACCCUUGUGUAUUUAUACCUCUGUUGCUUUGGCAGGCCGCUGGGUUUCGACCUGGCCACCGGCUCUGGGGCUGGUGUGCGCCUGCCAGAGGACCCCCAAACUCUGGUUAUCAGUGUCGUCUGAGUAUUAUACAAUUGUUAAAACUUUCAACAACGGAUCUCUUGGUUCUG
rnacentral:misc_RNA from 1 species